rnacentral:rRNA from 1 species
GACAGAGGGUGCAAACGUUUGUUCGGAAUUACUGGGCGUAAAGCGCGUGUAGGCGGCUUGGCAAGUCGGGUGUGAAAGCCCUGGGCUCAACCUAGGAAGUGCACUCGAAACUGCUUCGCUUGAGUGCCGGAGAGGAAAGCGGAAUUCUCGGUGUAGAGGUGAAAUUCGUAGAUAUCGAGAGGAACAUCGGUGGCGAAGGCGGCUUUCUGGACGGUAACUGACGCUGAGACGCGAAAGCGUGGGGAGCGAACAGG